GACGAACGCUGGCGGCGUGCCUAACACAUGCAAGUCGUACGGUAAGGCCCUUUCGGGGGUACACGAGCGGCGAACGGGUGAGUAACACGUGAGUAACCUGCCCACAACUUUGGGAUAACGCUAGGAAACUGGUGCCAAUACUGGAAAUGUGCUCCUGCUGCAUGGUGGGGGUUGGAAAGUUCCGGCGGUUAUGGAUGGACUUGCGGCCUAUCGGCUUGUUGGUGGGGUAGUGGCCUACCAAGGCGGCGACGGGUAGCCGGCCUGAGAGGGUGACCGGCGACAUUGGCACUGAGAGACGGCCCAGACACCUACGGGAGGCAGCAGUGGGGAAUCUUGCACGAGGAGCGCAAGCCUGAUGCAGCAGCGCCGCGUGCGGGAUGACGGCCUUCGGGUUGAAAAACGCUUUCAUAAGGGACGAAGCUUUUUGUGACGGUACCUGCAGAGGAAGCACCGGCUAACUACGUG
rnacentral:rRNA from 1 species